rnacentral:rRNA from 1 species
AUUGAACGCUGGCGGCAUGCCUUACACAUGCAAGUCGAACGGCAGCACGGGAGCAAUCCUGGUGGCGAGUGGCGAACGGGUGAGUAAAGUAUCGGAACGUGCCCAGUCGUGGGGGAUAACGUAGCGAAAGUUACGCUAAUACCGCAUACGAUCUAUGGAUGAAAGCGGGGGAUCGCAAGACCUCGCGCGAUCGGAGCGGGCGAUAUCAGAUUAGGUAGUUGGUGGGGUAAAGGCUCACCAAGCCGACGAUCUGUAGCUGGUCUGAGAGGACGACCAGCCACACUGGGACUGAGACACGGCCCAGACUCCUACGGGAGGCAGCAGUGGGGAAUUUUGGACAAUGGGCGCAAGCCUGAUCCAGCCAUGCCGCGUGCAGGAUGAAGGCCUUCGGGUUGUAAACUGCUUUUGUACGGAACGAAAAGGUUUGACUUAAUACGUUGGACUCAUGACGGUACCGUAAGAAUAAGCACCGGCUAACUACGUGCCAGCCGCCGCAGUAA